UGCAUUUCUUCUGAGGGCUCUACGCUUCGAUGAUGCAGCAACAAGAAAAGAAAGGAUGAAGGAAGACCGACUCGCUCCUAUUCGUUCCCUUUGGGAUGAUGUAGUGCUGCACUGCCAAGAGUGUUAUCAGCCUGGCCCACAUCUCACCGUUGAUGAGCAACUCCUUGGCUUCAGAGGACACUGUAGCUUCAGAAUGUAUAUCCCCAACAAACCUGCCAAGUACGGCCUCAAAAUUGUGAUGAUGUGUGAUGCUGACUCGCACUACAUGUGCAAUGCUAUACCUUACCUGGGUAAAGGGACAGUGCAGCUGUCAAAAGGUCAGACCCUGGGGGAAGUAUUCACAGUUGAGCUAGCCAAAGGCUAUGGUCGUCGUGGCCGGGUAGUUACCACUGACAAUUGGUUUACAUCGCUGCCUCUGGCCCUGGCUCUUCGAAGAAAUGACCUGGAGUUGGUGGGAACCAUAAAGAAGAAGCCCUACCUACCUAAAGAAGUACAAACUUCAGAAUGAAUAACGGUGAGUCUGUGGCUGUCUUCGACUAUGAAGCCAAAGUUACGCUACAGUGUACCAAAGUCACAUCCACGAAGAGGAUGCAGCUGCUCUCAACAAUACACCACAGACCCAAGAAAAUAGAAAAGGACAAGACAGAUAUCCAAAUGUUCUAUAAUGGUACAAAGGGAGGAGUAGACACCUUUGACCAGAUGUGCGCUGCACUAACUUGUUCAAGGAAGACCCGUCGUUGGCCCCUGUGUUUAUUCUAUGGGAUAAUCAACCUGGUCAUGGUCAAUGCCUACAUUAUAUCUCAGGGCAAGGAGAAGAAACCCAUGACUAGAAGAAACUUCCACCGAGAAGUGGCUGAAAAACUGAGUUACCCAUUGGCCACUAGUCGUUUACAGGGACAGGUGCGGCUAUCUCGUGGCCUUAGGACUUGCAUACAGUCAACCUUUGGGGUUUUGUUAGACCCUCCAACCCAUCCACAAGACGCAGGCAAGACCAUCAAGCGACAACGGUGCUACAUCUGUCCAAGAGUGAGCAAUGUGAAGACGAGACUUGUCUGUGGCACGUGCAAAAGGAAUGUGUGUCCACAGCAUCUCCACUACAGCUGCAUGGAGUGCACAGAUUAGAGCAUGUGCCGUAACAAAGACAGAGGGGUAGGGGCCUGCAUGUGAAGAGGGACACUCUUCCUCUUCGCUAUCGACAGAAAUGCAGGUCUCCAGCACUCCUUAUUCUUAUUCUCAGG